AGGAAGUUGGCUCAGUGGUAGAGUGCUUGCCUUGCAUGCAUGAGGCCCUGGGUUCAAUUACCUA
rnacentral:tRNA from 1 species